AGGGCAAUAACUCAGUAGGUCAGAGUAGCGUUCUUAUAAAGCGCCGGUCCCGGGUUCAAGUCCCGGUUGCCCUACCA
rnacentral:tRNA from 1 species